rnacentral:lncRNA from 1 species
GAGAGAGAGAGAGAGAGAGAGAGAGAGAGAGAGAGGAAGAAGAAUGGAUACCUGUGUAUUGGUUGAGGUGGAGAUGGACGGUGUUGUCAUCAUCGGAGCGGAGGAGAUUGGAGUCGCCACCAAAGAGUUGAGUGAAUCCUUUCUGGAAGGAAACUAUGUGUGGCAAAGGUGUGGUUGCGCCGCCGGAUAAGGGAUGGAGGAAGAGGAGGAGAAACGAUAUACAUACGGCGGGUUUAGAGAGAGAAUUGAGGAGUUGGUGUUUCAUUUUGAUGGAGUGUUU